CACACAGUAAACGAUGAAUACUCGCUGUUUGCGAUAUACAGUAAGCGGCCAAGCGAAAGCAUUAAGUAUUCCACCUGGGGAGUACGCCGGCAACGGUGAAACUCAAAGGAAUUGACGGGGGCCCGCACAAGCGGAGGAACAUGUGGUUUAAUUCGAUGAUACGCGAGGAACCUUACCCGGGCUUGAAUUGCAGAGGAAUAUAGUUGAAAAAUUAUCGCCGCAAGGUCUCUGUGAAGGUGC
rnacentral:rRNA from 1 species